GGACAGUGUCUGGUGGGUAGUUUGACUGGGGCGGUCUCCUCCUAAAGCGUAACGGAGGAGCACGAAGGUUGGCUAAUCCUGGUCGGACAUCAGGAGGUUAGUGCAAUGGCAUAAGCCAGCUUGACUGCGAGCGUGACGGCGCGAGCAGGUGCGAAAGCAGGUCAUAGUGAUCCGGUGGUUCUGAAUGGAAGGGCCAUCGCUCAACGGAUAAAAGGUACUCCGGGGAUAACAGGCUGAUACCGCCCAAGAGUUCAUAUCGACGGCGGUGUUUGGCACCUCGAUGUCGGCUCAUCACAUCCUGGGGCUGAAGUAGGUCCCAAGGGUAUGGCUGUUCGCCAUUUAAAGUGGUACGCGAGCUGGGUUUAGAACGUCGUGAGACAGUUCGGUCCCUAUCUGCCGUGGGCGCUGGAGAACUGAGGGGGGCUGCUCCUAGUACGAGAGGACCGGAGUGGACGCAUCACUGGUGUUCGGGUUGUCAUGCCAAUGGCACUGCCCGGUAGCUAAAUGCGGAAGAGAUAAGUGCUGAAAGCAUCUAAGCACGAAACUUGCCCCGAGAUGAGUUCUCCCUGAGACUACGAGUCUCCUGAAGGAACGUUGAAGACGACGACGUUGAUAGGCCGGGUGUGUAAGCGCAGCGAUGCGUUGAGCUAACCGGU
rnacentral:rRNA from 1 species